GAUCCCAACUUGAAUUAUGCAUUAAAUAAGCCCGCUACAUCGUCCUCGUUGGAGUAUGUACACUUGAGCUACCGUGCAGUAGAUGGAAAUAGCAACACAAAAUGGGGUGCUAAUGGAUGCUUUGAGGCGGGGAGUCCUAGUGAAAAACAGUGGUGGCGUGUGGACUUUCAAGAGGAAAUUCAAGUAGCCAGAGUGGUAAUUACAAACAGAGGU